rnacentral:rRNA from 1 species
UGGGGAAUUUUGGACAAUGGGCGAAAGCCUGAUCCAGCAAUGCCGCGUGUGUGAAGAAGGCCUUCGGGUUGUAAAGCACUUUUGUCCGGAAAGAAAUCCUUGGCUCUAAGUACAGUCGGGGGAUGACGGUACCGGAAGAAUAAGCACCGGCUAACUACGUGCCAGCAGCCGCGGUAAUACGUAGGGUGCAAGCGUUAAUCGGAAUUACUGGGCGUAAAGCGUGCGCAGGCGGUUUGCUAAGACCGAUGUGAAAUCCCCGGGCUCAACCUGGGAACUGCAUUGGUGACUGGCAGGCUAGAGUAUGGCAGAGGGGGGUAGAAUUCCACGUGUAGCAGUGAAAUGCGUAGAGAUGUGGAGGAAUACCGAUGGCGAAGGCCAGCCCCCUGGGCCAAUACUGACGCUCAUGCACGAAAGCGUGGGGAGCAAACAGGAUUAGAUACCCUGGUAGUCCAGCGCCCUAAACGAUGUCAACUAGUUGUUGGGGAUUCACUUCCUUAGUAACGUAGCUAACGCGUGAAGUUGACCGCCUGGGGAGUACGGUCGCAAGAUUAAAACUCAAAUGAAUUGACGGGGUCAUAGCUGUUUCCU